CACGUAGGGUGCGAGCGUUGUCCGGAAUUACUGGGCGUAAAGUGUGCGCAGGCGGCCGCGCAAGUCGAGUGUGAAAAUCCCCCGAGCUUAACUUGGGAAUUGCGCUCGAAACUACGUGGCUGGAGUGUGGCAGAGGAAGGUGGAAUUCCACGUGUAGCGGUGAAAUGCGUAGAGAUGUGGAGGAACACCGAUGGCGAAGGCAGCCUUCUGGGCCAACACUGACGCUCAUGCACGAAAGCGUGGGGAGCAAACAGG
rnacentral:rRNA from 1 species